rnacentral:rRNA from 1 species
GACGAACGCUGGCGGCGUGCUUAACACAUGCAAGUCGAACGGAGUGGCGAACGGGUGAGUAACACGUGGGUGAUCUGCCUUGCACUUCGGGAUAAGCUUGGGAAACUGGGUCUAAUACCGGAUAGUACAAGAUGAGCUCGCGGCCUAUCAGCUUGUUGGUGGGGUAAUGGCCUACCAAGGCGUCGACGGGUAGCCGGCCUGAGAGGGUGUACGGGCACCUAGGGACUGAGAUACGGACCAGAAUCCUACGGGAGGCAGCGGUGGGAAGUAUUGCGCAAUGGGCGGAAGCCUGAUGCAGCGACGCCGCGUGGGGGAUGAGGGCCUGCGGGUUGUAAACGACUUUCGAAAGGGACGCGGUAACUGUAUAGAAAGCACCGGCUAACUACGUGCCAGCCGCCGCGGUAAUUC